UGUAGACAGCUGUGCCAGAGCAGACAGAGCCAGGUGCCGGGGGCAGGUCCUCAGGUCAGGGAGCCUGGAGGAGGCGGAAGCCACGUCAGACCAAGAGGCAUAGCCUUGCCCAAAACACUUUCUCACUGGCUGCUGAUGCCCGAAGUUCCAGUGAAGUGUUCCCCUCCCUGAGUCAAAGGCAAAUUCAGAACAAAACCAUGUCAAGCAUUGUACAAGCUCACGCAAAUGUGCCUCAAAGACUAGUAGAGAAUUAAUUGAUGGCUCUGCCAAGCUGGACAGAUGACAAUCACUGCUCAUGGAGAAAUCCUCUGAGGACUAACCGCUGCAGGACGCUUCCGCCCACCCUCCGAGGUGGGGAGCCUGUGGGGAAAACUAAUCCUCGCCGCCUUGCCCGUUGCACUGGGGCGCUGAGUGAAAAGGCCGGGGGGCCAGGCCCGGGCCACGUGGAGGGGCCCGCCGGCCACUCGCUCUUCACUCUCAGCGCUGACAAGAGGGCCAUCAGAGCCCGGGGUACAGCACCCCUCGGGCUGACGCCUCUCUGAUAAACGGCUUUACAGGGAGGGUUCAUAAGCAGGUUAGGAAGAAACCUGGCCUUCCUCUCUGAUCUGCUAGACAGAUAAUGGGGAUUUCUAGUCAUUAGAGCAAUGAUGCCGGAUAGGAAUUCCCAUGUGGCCGCCCUAGGAAACCGCUCUGGAAAACUCCACUGCGGGGCUCAUCACAAGCCCCCUAAUCCUGGAAAAUGAACUUGAGGUUUCCUGCCCGCCCCCCACCCCGUCCCCACACACGCAACAUGGACUCCCUUGGCUAGAAUUUCGUUUUCAGCACAUUCAACAGAAAUUUGGACAUAAGGAAAUGUUCUCAGAGCGUUAAAAAAAUUUUCUUAUUUAGAAAAAAAAUCUUCUAAUUCCAGGUGUAACCUCUUAGGGAUUAGUCAAUGAGGGCAGCCUAACUCGGUUUCCCAGCCAGCGGGCUUGGGAUCACAGGCUGGCAAGGUCCUUGUUUAACAGGAGCCAAAGCUACCAUCCUAGGCCACUUGGUAAGUUAGGGACCACACCAGGCCUAGGACCCACCCAGGGUUCUGAGAGCCAGUCCUGAGCUCGUUCCUCACACAGUCCAGAAACCUGUGAUGAAGAAGAAAUCAUCCAGGGUCUCCUUCAUGAGCCCCUUCCGUGUGCAGGCAUAAUAAGACCCACAGAUAAGUGGGGGAACCCUUGGUGACUCAUUUCAAAGGAUGCAGGAGUGAAGCCACGUGCUGCCGGUGGGGGGAACCUCACCCAUCCAGCCAGGCACACCAGGUUUCAAGGCCUGACCCCACGCCUCUCACGAGGCGGGUGAGCUGGCGCAAGUUAUCAGAGCUCUCUGAGCCUCAGUUUCCUUAUCUGAGAAAGUAAAUAAUGCCUACCUCACAGAGCUGUCAUGAAAACAAAUUUAAAGGAGAUAACAUUUAUGAAGCUGGUAGCCCUGGUGCCCCUCCUGCUUGCUGCCUCCUGAAUCCUUUAUCCCAGAACCAAGGGUGUGAUUUUAGAUUACACGGCAUGAGCAACACGUUUGCUAAGGUGUAAUCAGCGAUUUAACAAACAUAAAUGCGCCAGAGAUCCUGCUCAGGCCAAUAAAAGACUGAGGGCUUCAGCCUCCGGGGAGAAGGGCACCUCCAGUCUGACCCGAGAGCUGAGGGGGGAGAGCCGGCGGAGGAGAGAGGCCAGGCGGCACAGACCAGAGAUGUCCCACGGAAACAGUGUGAGCGACAGAUAGAAUUUAAGAUGUUCCAGUAGCCACAUUCAAGAAAGUAAAAGAAAAUAGGUGAUGUUAAUCUUCAUAAUAUGUUUUAUUUAGUCCAGUAUAUCCAAAAUAUAAUUAUUUCAACUUGUACUGUUAUAAAAAUUAUUACUGGGGUAUUUUAUGUUCUUUUUUCUUACAGAGUCUUUGAAAUCAGUAUGUGUUUACACCUACAGCACAGUUCAGUUCAGACCAGCAGCAUUUCAAGGGUUCACCAUAUGGAUCAGGCAGGUGUAGACAAAUCCCCAUGCACCAACCUCGGUGCUAAGUGUUGGGAGGCCGAAAGCUUUCCACUAGAGCAGGAGUCCUGCCCUCAGGGGGCUCACUGUCUAGUUUGAGAUGUAGGGCAGAUGGGGGAAAUUUUACCAAACAAUAUACAUUUGCCUGUAGGUUCCCAAAGUGCUUAUCCUAAGGCGCUCAACCUGCAGUUCAGUCUUUUUCCUCCAGGCCUUAGACAGACCCCAAUCCCAGGGACACUAUCCCUUCCCAUAAACAGCGGUCAGAUCACACAUCUGAUUUGGGGUUUGGGAUGCGCAGCGCCCUAGGGAGCAGUUUAAGGGAAGCGGGUGCCUGGCUCUCCAAUCUCUGGAGGCCACAUAGUGCCCACUUCCUACUGGCCGAGCCCAGAUCCCAGACAAGUAGGAAAGAAACUGAAAGCAAACGCUCGGCCCUUCUCGGAACGCCUUACCUGUGUCCCCGGCGAGCAGCCGGCGCGGGAGCCGCCGUCCAUGCAGACGAGGCCGCUCUCAGCCCCGCUGCUCGCCGCCCCACCCCGUGGUCCCUGCCCCUCCCCCAGAGCCUCUGCGUUUCCUCCGCCGCCUGACAGGAGAAGCCAGUGGCGGCGGCAGCUUGCGGAGCGCUCUUCGAGCCGUGCAGGCGUGGACCUCGGCAAAAACCACAGACCCAGACUGGCUUUAGAUCCCCUACCAUUUUUUUUGGAAACUUUCUCCCUUUCUGCACCCCACCCCUAUCCCCACCCUAAGUUCCUUCCUUAACUAUUUCUGCUGCUAGACUAAUUCAUGCUAAGGAGUUACUGACUCAGUGGGCCAUCUUUCCCAGGGAUUUGCAUUUUUAAAGACAAAAUAAUAAUAAAAAGAGUGGC
rnacentral:lncRNA from 1 species